rnacentral:tRNA from 1 species
GGGCCUGUAGCUCAGUUGGUUAGAGCACACCUCUGAUAAGGGUGGGGUCCGUGGUUCGAGUCCACGCAGGCCCA